UCUCUCAUUCCAGAGCAGCGAUGGGAUGAUUCCGUUGUUUGAAAAUGGCGUUGUGUUGUGUGUGUGUUUAAGGUUCAGGGUAGGGUCUUAUGAGAGGGUUUUGUGAGAGAACCUUCAAUGGGUUAACUUGUUUACUUGCUAACCUUCUUAUAUUACUAAAAAGAACUCUAUUUUUCUUUCUUGUCUGUUUCUUAUCAUUUUACUUUUUAACUAUUUAGUCUUGACAUUCUAUAUCAGACCAAACUUCAUAGUAAAGAUUAUUAAGCUUAGCAUGUCCUGACUAACCUGCGUCAUAUUAAAUAGUAUGGAAAGAGAAGAAAAAUUUGAAAACAGAGAAAUUCAAUUACUAUUUACACAUUUUGACGGUGUGAUUAUGCUAAUUUAUCUACUAUUAAAUAAGUUGUGUAUAAUGAAGAAAGCUAAUCAAAUCAUGUGUUCUUUGUUUGGUACUAGUCUACUACACAAUAUUUAAUUGGAUAGUAUAGUUAAUAGAGAGAUGUGUACUUAUCUAACUCUGGAAAACCACGUCAUGUGAGAUUUGUUAACAAAACGACACAUUUUGCCGUUUUAUUUGUUUUCAGCUCCAAAAAUUCAAGUCAUCUCUGUGUUUAAAAAUUUUAAUAUGAGAGAGACGCUGUACCUUUUUGUCAAACAUAGUUGACACUUUAAUUCGGUCGAAGUGUUUACUGGAAUUCAAACUUACAACUUCGACCCCUCCAUUUUAAAAUUACGGUUCCCAAUGGUGACGAAACCGCACGUUGCAGUACAAUUUUAAUACUCCCUCCAUUUUUAUUUAGUUGAUGUUUUAGGAGAAUACACAUGCAU
rnacentral:sRNA from 1 species